ensembl:lncRNA
GUUGUUUUUGUUGAUGUUGGGCAGGGGGUUGUUUGUUUGUUUCUGGGUUUGUUUGGGUUUUUUCCCUGAUACCAGGGAUCAAACUCAGGACCUUGCACUUGCCAGGCAGGCUCAGCACCGCUGAGCUAAAUUCCUGGCAGUUUUCGGUUUUUUUGAGACAGGGUCUUGCUAUAUAGCCCAGGCUGGCCUCAAACUCUGGGCAAUCCUCCUGCCUCAGCCUCCCAAGUGCUGGGAUCACAGGCGUGUGCCACCACACCCAGCUCACUUCUGUUGUUACUAAUCACAGAUCCAAAGCCCCCAACAUAUAAAGCGUGAUUUGUUGUUGUUUAUGAUGUGGGGGAUCAAACCCAGAAGCUUUUCCAUGCUGAGCAAGCAGUGUCAGCUAUUCUGCCAGCUUGCAAGGGUUUACUUGUACUAAGUCAGAAAGGACCCUGGGCCUUAGGAGACUCCUCAGCCUCCUGGAGCCUGGCAGCUGCCCUGUUCAAACAAUGGUAAUCACAAGUUCCUUUUGUCACUGGGGGACUAAGAAAUAGCUACAAGACCUCAAGAGACCAGAGAGGAGGCAAUGUCCACUUUGGUGUUGGACAGGAUGCCUCCUGGUGCUCCUGGCUGUGGCUGAGGAACAAGUGACUUGCUACAUGGACUGGAUUAUCAGAUUUAAAUGACAUGUGGUCUCCAGCAUUUGGGGCUAUGGCCCAGAAGAGAUCAUCCCCCGUGAGUUUUCUACAGUGUGUGGCCCUGGUAAAACUUCAGGGAAGUUGAUACCUCCGCAGGUGUGUUUGCAUGGAUUUUAAGAAGUCAUGGCGUCACAUAACCUCUAUCCGAGAGUUUCUGAAUUUUCCCGACAGUGAUGAAUGGAAACCAACAUGUUGGAAAAGGGAAAGUCUGAAGAGAAUUCGCAGAUUUGCUUUCUGUCUCACAACAUUUCGCGUCUUUCUCUAGGUUGCACACUUUCACCCUGAGGAUGUGGUCCAGGAGCAGUUGAUGGGCUUCUCCUUAUGGAUCAUAAACAUGAACUCCAUGAUUGAAGUGAGGUCUGACACCUGGAAUAUUUUACCAAUGAAGCCCAGCUGGGAAGACUCUAGAAUCAUCCAUUCCUCAGAAGAAAGUUGAAGUGCAAGGUUUUUGACAGUAUUGAGAUAAUUCUUUUUGACAAUGAUAGCGUCUUCGAGCUGAAUGUAAAACACGCCCUUUUCCUGAUAAUCAGUAUCUGUCUCCUGUGAAGACUACUAUAACAGUCCUCCUUCUCUUCGGGGUACAAAUUAUCAAUAAGGGAAUGGAGGGUUUCUAUGAGAUCAGAAGUAAUCUCUCUCUUCCCUUGAGAAUUCCCAUUACUACUGAAACUCUGGUUCUCCCACUGCUGACCUGCACAGCAAGCUGAGACCUUCCUUCAUUUCGCAGUAAGUCAGGCAAAUGAUCAUAAAUACUUGCCACUUGAAGGAGACAUGUUUUGCUUGUUAACUCCAGUAGCUGUAGGGUUAUAUCUGAAAAUCUAUUCGAGGGCCGGGGAUUUAGCUCAGUGGUUCCUCUGCCUGCCUCGCAAGCGGAAGGACCUGAGUUCGAUCCCCGGUACCAAAAAAAAAAAAAAAAAAUCUAUUCGAUGCAUCCUUACUUCCAUUUGUUUCUGCACCUACACGCCAGAACUAUUGUACAACAAUACUUCACUCGGAAGAGAGCUGGGAGAUUCUGUGUCCAGCUAUUCCAAGGCAUUAUUUUAAAGCAAGGAAUUCUCAUUGAUAAGCAAUUAGUUCUUCUUUCCCAUUUUGCCACAUAGCAUUCCAUGAUAAAGUAAGGAACGAAGUGACAGAUGCUAAACCAAUGGCCUGCAUCACACUGGGUCAGAGGUUUGUGAUGACAACCGGGACUGUUUUCUCUUUACCCGGAAGUCAGCAGUAUCCAGUACUCCUGGCUCUCAACCAAUAAGCACAGUCAAUGAGAGGUUCCUUUCAGAUGCUUACAGACAUACCAUUCCCGGUCGCCCCUCAGGAUUGUCUUCGCAGCCUUCAAACACCCAUGUCUCCGGAUAUUUUCCUCCACUGAGCAGUAGAAAUCCCCACUGGCAACAAAAGAUCACAAGAGCUUAGUGAUUUUUAAUCAUUUUUAAUAAAAACGACGACCGCCAUGGCAUCUUGCUCCCCAUGGGCUGGGUCCAUUAUGUGGUUUAAACCUUCACCAAACCCUAUGAGGCCAGCAUUACUAAUAUCAUUUUACACACCCUCAACCUCCUGAGGGCUGGGAUUGCAGGUGUGUGCCACCAUACAAGGCCUUUUUUUUUCUCCUAGACAUAGUCUCACUCAGUUGCCCAGACUGGGCUUAAACUUGUGAUCCUUCUCUCUCAUCCUCCCACCGUGCCUGGACUACAGGACUACUGGUGUGCAUGAGCACACCAGCCUCACUGAAAUUACUGAGCCUCUUCUGUGUGCCAGCCUUCGAGUGAGAUACUUCACAGCCUCAGUCCCUGCCAGGGAACACCCCAGGGCCCCAGCCUACUGUGGAUUUAUCACAAAGGUCCAGCUCCAGGGAAACUGAGACAGUUGUGGCCCUGCCCUAUCCACAGGAGUCUCAAGAGGCUGUGAAGAUCCUCCUAACUCGAGGUCUAGAGGCAAGCUUCUGCCCCAGCUUUCUUCAAAGGUGAAGAUCCUCCUAACUCGAGGUCUAGAGGCAAGCUUCUGCCCCAGCUUUCUUCAAAGGUAGAUGCUGUACAUUGGCCUCCCUACAGUUAGCCUGGGGUUAAGGAAAACUCCCAAGCAAUGACUUUUCCUUUAUGCUGCCUCCUAGGUUAUGAACUGCAGGGCAGAGCGAUGUUUCGGGUCUCCAUAGUGCCUACUAGUGCCUUAAUAGAGUGGUUAUAAAAUGAAUGAUGUGGAAUUUAUUUUUUUGAGACAGGAUCUUGCUAUAUAGCUCAGGCAGGCCUUGAACACACUAAGUAGAUCAGGCUGGCCUUAAACUCUUAGAAAUCCUGUCUCCGCCUCCCAUGUGCUGGAAUUACAGGUAUGUACCACCAUGCUUUGCUACGUAUAUUUAGUUAAAUUGGGGUGUUUCCAGGCAUGGUACUGCACACCUGUGAUCCUAGCAUUCUGGAGGCUGAGGCAGGAGGAUUGCUGAGAGAUCCAGGCCAGCCUGGACUACACAGAAAGACCCUGUCUCAAAAUACAAAAAGAAUAAAUAAAUAAAGAUGUUGCACA